rnacentral:misc_RNA from 1 species
GCGCUCGGCAUCGAUCAUUACCUGGUGGAGCGCGGUCCGUCACGCUGAAGACGCGCUGCAAAAGACAAUGCGGGGUACCUCGUCUCGCCCCGUUUUCUCUCCGCCCCGUUCUUCGGCGCCGUGAUCAUCAACCGGAUACUCUCUCUGCUCUCCGUUCCAGGGCUGGGAUACGAAAACCGUCGUCGUUGAUGAUACUAUGACCGAUCAGAUGUCUAUAUCAUUCCAUUCUACUACCAAGAUGGAUGAGCACGAGAAGAAUUUGAUGUCAGGAACGUUGGAGCAAAGGAAGGAGGCCUUCAAGGAAGAUGAGGAGCUCAUGCGGGAAACUACGAAAUUUAUCAGCGAGGUGAUAGAGACCGCCACCACGGAAGCUUCGAAGAGAAAAGUUCAGUCGGAGGGAGCUGCUACAGGUGAAGGCAGUAGAUUGAAGGGUGGUGAUACCAUCGCUGGCUGGAACAACCGGGCGCGUGGAUUCUGCAAUCGUAUUCUGAAUGCGCUUUGCCCGUGCUUCACCAACCACGGUAAAUCGUAGAGCGAUUCACGUAGUGACUGCCGCCACACUACUGCCAGUCUCCUUUGCAAAAAACCAAAAAAGAAAAACAGUAGUCCGCUCAUAGUGCUCAUCGUCUCAUUUGCUUUACCACCGACCAGACCAGAUUGCAGACACCUUCCCAUACCACCUACAGGCAGAUCGAGAACGAGUUGACCACACCAACCAAUUGUCCGAUCAAUUUGAGUGUCGAGCCGAACUGUUCGCCUGGACUCCGUACCGGUAUCGCUUCACAAGACCUUAACCGUUCGAUGACUUCCGGAUUUUCCGUUCCGUCGUGCGAGCAUGCGAUUGACGCAAACAAAGCAAAAAUAGGAUUAAGUUUCUUCCCGAUUGUCAAUUCGAUUCCGCGUCGUGGCUCUUAUGCAUACGCGUGUAUGUGUGGGCCAACUGAGAACAUCAAAUAAUGUAAAACGCAAUUUUCUAAUUACAAUGGUUGGCCGUUAAUUAUGAUCCGUGCGUGAACAUAAAAAUGUCUGUAGAACAUGCAACUUGUCGUUGUUGACAUACGCUCGAAUUUAAUCUUCCUGAUACCUCGCGGAGACAAGUAUCAGUCUGCUGUGGCUGCUGUGCAGCCAAGCGUGAGGAAAGCUACAUUAGUGUUCAACAUGAAAAACAUAAUUGUAGGUAUAAUUAAUUGAUACGGCUCAUGUACUUUACUCAUUAUGGAGUAAUCUGCAAUCGUCUUAUAGAGUAGCUUGAUCAUGUACGGCGAUAGUUUCUUAUUCGGUUCGAUUAUAAAGUAUGUCCAUUUAAUACGCCUUCCAUAAGUAUCUUAGCAGCAAUGUGUCAUAUGACAGAUGAUUCCUCUUGUAUGUAUAUUUUCGCAAUAUUAAAUUUACUUUAAUGUAAGAGAGACAUUCGCAUUUACAAGCAGACAAGACGUGUGACGUUGCGCGAUCGUUUAAAUUUUUCUCUGCACUAGUUUGCAAGAUAAUGUGUGUAUAAGCUAGUUUUAUAUUACGUAAAGAUUUAUGUAAUACAAGAGAGAUUUAAUAUUAGAAUUUGUAAAUGACACAAUAUAUACUUUAAAAAAGAGAUGUGAUGAAGAAUGCACGACACUGUCGUGAGAGUUUUACGAGGUGCAGAUAUUUAUUAUUAAUUUAUUGAUUUAUUAGUUUUAUUUAUUAUUUAUUAUUUUAGUAAUUUUCGUCAUUCCUUAAGGUAAAAUAAUACAUUAUUCUAGUUAUUUCAACUAUUAAUUUAUAAUUAGUUAAUGUGUUUAAAAGUUUUUAAUUAAAUUUAUGUAUAUAAUAAAUCUAUUUAAAUUUAAAAACAUUACCAAGCAUAUAGCAAUAACGCAUUUUAAAUAUAACUGAAAAAUUUGUAAACACUGUGUACUUUACGUGUUUAUGUGUCGUAGAGUGUCAGACAGCAUCAAGGAUGUACUGUAUUUUAUAAUAUUAGUUAUUAAUGUCAGUUGUAGCUUGAAAUUUACUAAAAGAGAUUUCGUUUAAUAAUAGCAACGCUGAUACUGCUUGUCAGGCAUAAAAGAACCGGAUCAAUAAUGUUGCUAUAGAGAAUCGACAUAUGUUGUUAUCAGUAAUAUGGAUAAUCGUUAUCAGUACCAUUGCAUUCAUUUUAUCCCUGCUGAAAUCUGAAAUCAAGCUAAAAUAGUCGACGAAUUUAUCCAGAUAUAAAUCGCAUUGUAUAUAAUAUAGAAUCUAAGUCAGUUAAUAACGAUAAUAAGUUUCACCAAUCAAUCAGGUCGCCGUAUGUAUCUGUACUCACAUUGAAUGUACCUGUGUUAAUCAACAUUGUACAAGCCGUUAGAUUUAAUUGUGCAACUAUCACAGGACAUCCUGGAGAGAAUGCGAUAAUAGUAGUUCUAUUCUAAAUUAAAAUCAAAGUUAACUUAAUUUGGAAUAAAGAAUUUAUCUUAAUGUGCGAGGCACUUAAACUGACUCCUUUAUGUGACGUGAAUUCUCUGAUUGUACAAAUUAUCGAUUCGAUGACGAAGUAUCGGAGUUACUCGCAUUCGGCCUUUUCGGGAUGUACUGCAGAUGCAAACCUCCUCGCGUAAAGGCGAACCGAUGCAAAUUACCGCAAUUCGUGCGGUCUACUCCCGCAUAACGUGCUACAAAUGCUACUUAUUGUGUGACUGGUGAUGACUAUAUGGCUUAACGUGGAAACGUUCAGCGGAACCAACGCCGUUGGUGCGGGGAAGAAAAUCAAUAUAUCCCGGCAGUGCCCGUUUUGACCAUGAAUUGCCGUGUUGCAGAACACUCCUACAUACACAUUUUCGCUGGCGAAUUUAGAAGGGAUGUGCGAGCACUCGCCAUUACCACUGUUCAUGUAUAUGCGUGCUUUUGCCUUUUUUUUCUCAAUCGCUUGUAUGUAUGUAUGUAUGUAAGUUAAUAUUUUAAUUCCGAUCAUAGUAUGCAAGGGGCAUGCUAGGAGGUUGCGAGGUCCAACGUAUUUUUUUUUCACGCACACAUAUAGACAUGUACAUAUACACGCCACACAUACACGCACGCACGCAUCCGUUCAACGACGGCGAAUUAUUUCUGAUAAUUCACUGAGCGUUCUCGUUUGCGUAUUUUUCUAGGACAGGAAGACCUGUGUGAAGUUAGCCCUACCCUUUUUGACUUUUGUAUUUUUCUGAAUUGUACUGCGUUAUGCUACAUUUGUGCCAAUUUGUGUUGUAGCUCAAUAACUUAAAGUGUUUUUCAUAAAAAAAUUAAAAUACCAAAUUUUUGCUAGCCCCGCACAUUUCAAAUUUUGAAUUUUUGAUAACAAUAUUAUAUUAUGCUACGUUUUUGCUGAUUGUGCACAAAGAAAAAAUCGAUAAGUCAAAUAACUCGGUAAUUCAAGUUGUGUUGAAGUAUGCUACUUUAGCAUAAUCUGGCAUUACCAAAAAAUUUCAGAAAUGUCAAAUUUUUAAUUCUUUCCCACCCCUUUUCCAUGAAAUUUUAUCAAGUCUAUGAUUAUUAGAAGGGGAUUUUACUUACUUUUAUUUUAUAUUUAAAAUAGUAAAAAAGUACUACUUGCAACAAGAAAUUCUAUUAUUAGCAAAGUUAUAAAAGAUUAAAAAUUUGAAAAGUAUGGAACUAACAAAAAGUUGAUUUCUCCAUUUUUUGUGAAAAAUGUUUCAAGUGAUUGAACUGCGAUUUGCGGCAUAAAUUGACACAAACAUAGGCACAACGAUAAUUGAGAAAAAUAUAAAGUUCAAAUAUAAUGCGGGGCUAACUUUACACAGAUGACAGGAAAAAAGAGCAAAAAAGUACUUUUCAUGUUGCCUAUUUAGAUGUAUAGAGGGAUCAAUGGUGUAUUACGUAUAUCAGAGACGAGAGACAAUCAAAUCAAAUGUAUGUGGACGUAGAAUAUUGUCUUGGUAUAUAUAUAUAUAUAUAUAUAUAUAUAUAUAUAUAUAUAUAUACAUAUGCGUUAUAAAUACAGAUAUAUAGAGAAUUUAAUAUCGCGACUUUAUAUUUUGCGUUACUGGAGCACUUGAUAUAUACGUAUACAUAUAUACAAAAAGGAAAUAUAUUUACAUCGUAUUGUUAUCUUCGUAUCUUUGGUAUCGCGAAAUUGUAAAUUAACGCAAUUUGUAAAUUAAUGCAGUCCAUCGGUAUAAAUAUUGAAUUAUCUAAAUAUUGGAAAUUGAAUAUUGGAGAUCGAAAUAUCAGACUUAUCGCACUUGUGAAAGUACUAUUCCGAAAAAGCGAUGUCAUACAUAUAAAUAUGCAAUAAAUAUUUCCGUUGAGACACA